GACCAAACCAGGUCUAAACCAGGACUAAACCAGGUCUAAACCAGGACUAAACCAGGACUAAACCAGGACUGAACCAGGACUAAACCAGGACUAAACCAGGACUGAACCAGGACUGAACCAGGUCUAAACCAGGACUAAACCAGGACUAAACCAGGUCUAAACCAGGACUAAACCAGGACUAAACCAGGACUGAACCAGGACUAAACCAGGACUCAACCAGGACUAAACCAGGACUGAACCAGGACUGAACCAGGACUAAACCAGGACUGAACCAGGACUAAACCAGGACUGAACCAGGACUAAACCAGGACUGAACCAGGAAUAAACCAGGACUAAACCAGGACUAAACCAGGACUAAACCAGGACUGAACCAGGACUAAACCAGGACUAAACCAGGACUAAACCAGGACUGAACCAGGACUGAACCAGGU
ensembl:lncRNA